ACGGGAGGCAGCAGUGGGGAAUCUUAGACAAUGGGGGCAACCCUGAUCUAGCGAUGCCGCGUGAGUGAUGAAGGCCUUAGGGUCGUAAAGCUCUUUCGCCUGUGAUGAUAAUGACAGUAGCAGGUAAAGAAACCCCGGCUAACUCCGUGCCAGCAGCCGCGGUAAUACGGAGGGGGUUAGCGUUGUUCGGAAUUACUGGGCGUAAAGCGCACGUAGGCGGAUUAGUCAGUCAGAGGUGAAAUCCCAGGGCUCAACCCUGGAACUGCCUUUGAUACUGCUAGUCUUGAGUUCGAGAGAGGUAAGUGGAAUUCCGAGUGUAGAGGUGAAAUUCGUAGAUAUUCGGAGGAACACCAGUGGCGAAGGCGGCUUACUGGCUCGAUACUGACGCUGAGGUGCGAAAGUGUGGGGAGCAAACAGGAUUAGAUACCCUGGUAGUCCACACCGUAAACGAUGAAUGCCAGUCGUCGGGUAGCAUGCUAUUCGGUGACACACCUAACGGAUUAAGCAUUCCGCCUGGGGAGUACGGUCGCAAGAUUAAAACUCAAAGGAAUUGACGGGGGCCCGCACAAGCGGUG
rnacentral:rRNA from 1 species